GGCGGGAUAGCUCAGUCGGUAGAGCAACGGACUGAAAAUCCGUGUGUCCCCAGUUCAAUUCUGGGUCCCGCCACCA
rnacentral:tRNA from 1 species